rnacentral:piRNA from 1 species
UGCUCAGCUGGAAAACUGGACACCUUCCUA